GGGGUAUAAAAGACAAAAAAUAAAGCUUCUAACUUUACUUUAAGCGGUUAAAUUCCGUUUGUACUCCU
rnacentral:tRNA from 1 species